rnacentral:lncRNA from 1 species
GGAAGAAGUUGCUAAAGCCCGCUCCACGCUCCACGCUCUCAACUCGAAACUCAAAUAGAGCAGGGCGCGGAGAGCUCUGCCAACUUUGUCCAUUAAAACAAACUUGUUCGGUGCAGGUGGGGCAUCGAUGGCUUACCCUGUCCAUGCCGCCGAAAAUCUGAUGCCCCAAAAUGCAGGCAAACCAAUUUUGUAAUGUGAAUUUAAUGUCAGUUGUACCCCCCGCUGCGGGUCCAGCUUAAUGCAUUUCACUUGGCCAGGUCGGAUCUGCACGUCACGUGAUUGAUCAGAAUAGAUGCUGCAAAUUGAUUGAUGGACUUGGGGGCGAGCAUCGUGACAUAAUUAAUAUUUAAAUGUCAGGAGAAUCUGCGAAAAAUAAAGCAAAGCUUUGAGUCCAGCAGCAGUUACCACAGACCAGCAAUGAAGGACCAGAGGCCACUGGGCGGGAGCGUCACCCAAAAUCCUCUCGAAAUUUAAU